rnacentral:rRNA from 2 species
GUGGGAGAACUACCGAUCAGAAGUCUGACGGAGCACGCCGCGUGAACGAUGAAGGCUUUCGGGUCGUAAAGUUCUGUUGUUAGGGAAGAACAAGUGCUAGUUGAAUAAGCUGGCACCUUGACGGUACCUAACCAAAAAGCCACGGCUAACUACGUGCCAGCAGCCGCGGUAAUACGUAGGUGGCAAGCGUUAUCCGGAAUUAUUGGGCGUAAAGCGCGCGCAGGUGGUUUCUUAAGUCUGAUGUGAAAGCCCACGGCUCAACCGUGGAGGGUCAUUGGAAACUGGGAGACUUGAGUGCAGAAGAGGAAAGUGGAAUUCCAUGUGUAGCGGUGAAAUGCGUAGAGAUAUGGAGGAACACCAGUGGCGAAGGCGACUUUCUGGUCUGCAACUGACACUGAGGCGCGAAAGCGUGGGGAGCAAACAGGAUUAGAUACCCCGGUAGUCAGCC